UACAGAGGGUGCAAGCGUUGUUCGGAAUUAUUGGGCGUAAAGCGCGUGUAGGCGGCUUUGCAAGUCGGGUGUGAAAGCCCUCAGCUUAACUGAGGAAGUGCACCCGAAACUGGAUAGCUAGAGUACGAAAGAGGGUCGCGGAAUUCCCGGUGUAGAGGUGAAAUUCGUAGAUAUCGGGAGGAACACCGGUGGCGAAGGCGGCGACCUGGGUCGAGACUGACGCUGAGGCGCGAAAGCGUGGGGAGCAAACAGG
rnacentral:rRNA from 1 species